AUGUAAUAGGGUGUUCAUGUAAGAUGUUAAUGAUGUUGGGUAUUAUGGUCUUGCAGCUAAGCUUCUAUGGAGGGGUGCUGAGUGUUGGAAUGAGUGUUUAAAGCUUUUGGGCGUUGCUGAAGCAGCAGAAGCAUCAAUGGAUUCUGACUAGUUAAGCUCUGGAAUUUCAGAUUUUGAUACUCACUUUCAAGGCCUCAUAGUUCAGAAAAGUGAUGAUGACGACUCUGAGAAUGAGUCGGCACUUGAAAUUCAGCCAUACUUGAUGGAAGAAAAAUUGUCGAAGCACUUGAUAAUCACUUGACUGCUAUCCAAAGGGACCAUGAACUCAGGUCCCAGAUAGAAGAAAGGAAAAUAAGAAGUGAUGCGGCUUAUGAAGGGGCCAAAAGAAAAGAGAAAGCUCUCCUGGAAGAAAAACUCCGCCAAUAAAAAGCCAAAGCAGAAGCUGAGGCAAAACUCAGAGCUGAAGAAGAAAAUAGAGCUGCAAUGGAAGCUCAGAGAAGAGAAGCAAAAGAGGCUGCUGAAAGGGAGGCCAAUGAAGCGUCAAGCCAGGCUGUUGUUCAGAAGGAAGCUUUAGGAUUGCAAACUAAAGCCAAAGCCAAGGAAUCUGAAUUUGAAAAACCAAUAAAUUCAGCAUCAGCAGGUAAUUUGGCUACCAGGCAAAUAUAGCAACCUUGUACUGAUCUAUAAAUAUAAUAAUUUGCCCUUUUAUCUAAAAAUCUAGUUUAGCCCUAGUUUUCACAAAGAUCAGCUAGGUUUUGGCAA